GAGUUUGAUCCUGGCUCAGGAUGAACGCUGGCGGCGUGCCUAAUACAUGCAAGUCGAACGCUUCACUUCGGUGAAGAGUGGCGAACGGGUGAGUAAUACAUAAGUAACCUGGCAUCUACAGGGGGAUAACUGAUGGAAACGUCAGCUAAGACCGCAUAGGUGUAGAGAUCGCAUGAACUCUAUAUGAAAAGUGCUACGGGACUGGUAGAUGAUGGACUUAUGGCGCAUUAGCUGGUUGGUAGGGUAACGGCCUACCAAGGCGACGAUGCGUAGCCGACCUGAGAGGGUGACCGGCCACACUGGGACUGAGACACGGCCCAGACUCCUACGGGAGGCAGCAGUGGGGGAUAUUGCACAAUGGGGGAAACCCUGAUGCAGCGACGCCGCGUGGAGGAAGAAGGUUUUCGGAUUGUAAACUCCUGUUGUUGAGGAAGAUAAUGACGGUACUCAACAAGGAAGUGACGGCUAACUACGUGCCAGCCGCCGCGGUAAUUC
rnacentral:rRNA from 1 species